rnacentral:rRNA from 1 species
GACGAACGCUGGCGGCGUGCUUAACACAUGCAAGUCGAACGGAAAGGCCCUGCUUUUGUGGGGUGCUCGAGUGGCGAACGGGUGAGUAACACGUGAGUAACCUGCCCUUGACUUUGGGAUAACUUCAGGAAACUGGGGCUAAUACCGGAUAGGAGCUCCUGCUGCACGGUGGGGGUUGGAAAGUUUCGGCGGUUGGGGAUGGACUCGCGGCUUAUCAGCUUGUUGGUGGGGUAGUGGCUUACCAAGGCUUUGACGGGUAGCCGGCCUGAGAGGGUGACCGGCCACAUGGGGACUGAGAUACGGCCCAGACGCCUACGGGAGGCAGCAGUGGGGAAUAUUGCACAAUGGGCGGAAGCCUGAUGCAGCAACGCCGCGUGCGGGAUAACGGCCUUCGGGUUGUAAACCGCUUUCGCCUGUGACGAAGCGUGAGUGACGGUAAUGGGUAAAGAAGCACCGGCUAACUACGUG